AUUGAACGCUGGCGGCAUGCCUUACACAUGCAAGUCGAACGGCAGCACGGGAGCAAUCCUGGUGGCGAGUGGCGAACGGGUGAGUAAUAUAUCGGAACGUACCUUUCAGUGGGGGAUAACGUAGCGAAAGUUACGCUAAUACCGCAUAUUCUGUGAGCAGGAAAGCAGGGGAUCUUCGGACCUUGCGCUGAUUGAGCGGCCGGUAUCAGAUUAGCUAGUUGGUGAGGUAAAGGCUCACCAAGGCGACGAUCUGUAGCGGGUCUGAGAGGAUGAUCCGCCACACUGGAACUGAGACACGGUCCAGACUCCUACGGGAGGCAGCAGUGGGGAAUUUUGGACAAUGGGGGCAACCCUGAUCCAGCCAUGCCGCGUGAGUGAAGAAGGCCUUC
rnacentral:rRNA from 1 species